rnacentral:rRNA from 1 species
GACGAACGCUGGCGGCGUGCUUAACACAUGCAAGUCGAACGGAAAGGCCCUGCUUUUGUGGGGUGCUCGAGUGGCGAACGGGUGAGUAACACGUGGGUAACCUGCCCUUGACUUUGGGAUAACUUCAGGAAACUGGGGCUAAUACCGGAUAGGAGCUCCUGCUGCAUGGUGGGGGUUGGAAAGUUUCGGCGGUUGGGGAUGGACUCGCGGCUUAUCAGCUUGUUGGUGGGGUAGUGGCUUACCAAGGCUUUGACGGGUAGCCGGCCUGAGAGGGUGACCGGCCACAUUGGGACUGAGAUACGGCCCAGUCUCCUACGGGAGGCAGCAGUGGGGAAUAUUGCACAAUGGGCGGAAGCCUGAUGCAGCAACGCCGCGUGCGGGAUGACGGCCUUCGGGUUGUAAACCGCUUUCGCCUGUGACGAAGCGUGAGUGACGGUAAUGGGUAAAGAAGCACCGGCUAACUACGUG